ACGUGUGAGAAAAAUACUUGGCCGGCGCGGUGAAGAACGAGGUAACAAAGAAUACGAGAAGAGCAAUGAGAAAUGUUGAGGCUAAUUGCAAGGUACAGGAAGUGUGGCAUAAGAGCCUAGUGUUCACAUCUCCACUGACAGAUGGCGCGCGAGUAUGCUCCUUGGUGUCUCGUUUGUCGAUACUCCCGACUUUAAAAAUGCUUUUAGGUUAUACCGAUAACUUGACAUGUUAUUGAGUCGCAGCGUGACCCGGGGGAAAACGUGUCUUCAAUUUGAAGCAAUUAGCUUACUGGUUACAGAAAAUAUUGAGAUCACUUCCCGAAAAUAUUGAAAGCAACUUAUUGAAAGCAUGCCUCGACGUUGCCAGGCUAUAAUCGACAGUGCAGGAAAAACUGGACAUCAUAUUAGGUGACACAAGCAGUACGCUCUUGUGCCACUUACUGUACAAGCCUGAAACAUCCUUGAGGAAUAUUUUCAAAUAUAAACAGAUAAUGUGCGUGCGCAUGUAUGCUAAGACAAAUAUCUCUUAGAACGUGUAUAUCUAAUUGAAGAUACGCAACUAAUUUUAUCUUUUUUUUUUCAGGAAACUUAGAAAAGUUUCUGAUAUUUCUGACCGAUAAAGAUCAACUUGAAAGGAUGCUACAACCAUUUCAAACUUAAAAAUGUAUUAUAUCCGUAUUAUUGUGUAAUGUAUGAUAUUAACGAUCGCAAUAUAUGAAUGAAUAUUUCUCCUAAAUUCUAGAAAGUUAAGAAUUCCACUCUCAAUAUUACCAGUCGAUAAUCUGACUAUUAUCUUUAACGCCAAUAUCUUUUUCCGCGAAUAUAACAUCGAGAUUCAUCUCUUACUUUAAUACGCGACGUAAGAUCCAACUGAAUUCCGUCAUUGAGGAAAAUAAGCAUAUUUAUCCAACUGCUUUCUCGAAAUGAGGAUGCUUGUAUAAUUAAAUAUCCGAUUGCUUGUCUUGACGAACGAGGAAAGUGCGGUCACACUUCCUUGAUGUAACGUGCAACAAAUUGUUAUACCUUCAACGACGAUUACUGUCGGACGUAUAAUUUUUAAGCACAGACAUCCUUUUUCUUCCACAAAAACAGAUUGAAUCUCAAUGGACAGCUCUUGCACCGUGUCGCAAAUUAUAAGACGUGUUUUAGAAAGAGGAGCAGGGUCGCGAAUUUGGGCGUAAACUGUGCGAGGCGUUCGCUGGUAGUUCGCAUUUAUUAAACAGAGAGGACCGAGUAAGUUUUUCCCGUAACAAAACUGUCGAGACAAUAGUUUUUGCUACAACUGGUCAAAAUAGCAAUUUGGACGAAAUUGAGCGUUGAGAGGUGAAGAAGAGACGCACUUGAAGCGCGACUUGUGGCGCGGCUCCUAUCACUUUCCAGUUAAUCUCUAGUGAACAUUGAAAUCUCGAGAGCCGAGAAUUAAUCACAUAUACACGGCGGAACGUUUAAGAUCGUCUAGACAAUCUCCCCUCCAAGGGAGUCGACGUCCGUCCAAUUGUAUUUUGACGAAGAGAGAAUCACUUGGUUGGACAGUGUGUAUGUGUGUGUGUGUCGCCCCCGAAGAAAAAAAAUAUAUAAGCGCGGGACAGCAAUGCGCGCGACGUAAAUCUAAAAGAUUCUCCGACGUUCCUUUUCUACUCGGAGGGUUGAGAGAGACGCAACAAUGAUCCAACACCGGGGCGCUUCGUAAUAUAAACAUUUUUCUUAUUCAAACGUAUGUUCUUACAUUUACACAGUACAAAAAAUUAUACUCAGACCUGCCGGCCCGCGGUUCAUAACUGCUAUGACUGGGGGCGGCCGGUACUUGUGGGAGGGGGGAUAGCGCGGGACUUCUUAUUUUCUUUCUUUCUUUUUCCCUUCAUCCUUUUUUUCCAGGGGGUGGAUGUCUCUCGUGGGGAUUCUCGUAAGAUCUGUACAUUGUUUUUUUUUAUACUAUCCGUUCCACUCCGCCCCCAAUACACGGCCCCUUGUGUUCUCACGUGCGUACUUUUUCGCAUUUUCACUGGAUUGCCCACGCACACGUACGGUUUUUCUUUCUCCUCUCUUUCACUCGCGACACACAUGCAACACGCACGCACGCAUACAAACCGUCUUCCUCUCUCUUUCUCUCUCUCUCUCUCUCUUUCCUUCUUUCUCGCGACUUCAAGCAUCGUUUUAACUCACCCACAAUUUUUUUCUUUUUAAUCAUUUACACUCGCAGCUCGUGCUACUCUUCGCUCUCGCUAGUUCGCUCGCUUACUCUCUCUCUCUCUUUCUCUCUCUCUCUCUCUCUCUCUCUCUCGCGUUUUCUCUCUCUCGGCAUAUUUAGCAACAUUUAAAUAUCGUAUUUUCCGUAAUAAUUAAUCGUAAUAAUGAUAAUAAUAUAAUAAUAAUAAUGGCAUAAUAAACUAUCUACCUACGCGUGUAAAGUGGUAUUUUUCCAUGGUUUCGUAAAGGGGUGUGUACUGCUUAUCAUCAUAAUCCUAGACUUCCCUCUUUCGUAUUUAUAUAUGUAUAUAUAUACGGAUGUAUAAAUGUAUUAUGUACAUACACAUAGCAAUAGAGAACAAACAAUAGCUUCUCGUUUGCAGCAAUAAUACACAGAAAUAUGUCUUCCUAGAGAACUUUAUACACCGCCGUCCGUGGAGUAAUAACGGUACUUCUUCCUUCUUCUUCUUUUUUUUUGUUGCUUGUUAUGUUUGUUGUUUGUUGUUGUUAUACAAUUUCCAUAAUCGUUAACGCGCGCGCGUACUUAUCAACACUAAGAUAUUUUAAAAAUGUAUUCGUUAAAUAUUAUUUUAAUCAAGUCGUUGUAUGCUAGACGAAUGUUGAGAUCAAAGAAAUUGCGGAUUUCAGGAUGCCAGUGAUUUCUAACUCUUUUUCUUUUCCCCUCGUUUCGGUUCGUCCGUUCAUCCAUUUGCUUUUUUUCCCGAUAUUUUCUUUCGUUUACGUGUGUCAUCAUCGGUGUCGAUGAUUGUUAUAACCAGCCGUAAUAUAAUCGACGAUCGAGCGGCGCGUAGAAUGGCGCAAAACGACGCUAAGUAGAUACGCCCGAUUCGAGAGCUGCUGUUUCUCAGGUUUGCUAAAAGAAGAAAGGAAAUCACGAACGCAAAAGUCGGAAAGAAUCUCUAGUAGUUACGCUCGCUUGUUUGCGCUUGCUUGCUUGCUUGAGCAAUGUCUAUCGAACGAAGAAUCUUGCGAGAUAAAGAAAC